UACGUAGGUGGCAAGCGUUGUCCGGAUUUACUGGGUGUAAAGGGCGCGUAGGCGGGAGAACAAGUCAGAUGUGAAAUGCUGAGGCUUAACCUCAGAGCUGCAUUUGAAACUGUUUUUCUUGAGUAUCGGAGAGGCAGGCGGAAUUCCUAGUGUAGCGGUGAAAUGCGUAGAUAUUAGGAGGAACACCAGUGGCGAAGGCGGCCUGCUGGACGACAACUGACGCUGAGGCGCGAAAGCGUGGGGAG
rnacentral:rRNA from 1 species